CAGUAGCCGCGGUAAUGCGAAGGGGGCUAGCGUUGUUCGGAAUCACUGGGCGUAAAGCGCACGUAGGCGGGUAAUUAAGUCAGGGGUGAAAUCCCGAGGCUCAACCUCGGAACUGCCUUUGAUACUGGUUAUCUUGAGUCCGGGAGAGGUGAGUGGAACUGCGAGUGUAGAGGUGAAAUUCGUAGAUAUUCGCAAGAACACCAGUGGCGAAGGCGGCUCACUGGCCCGGAACUGACGCUGAAGUGCGAAAGCGUGGGGAGCGAACAGGAUUAGAUACCCCUGUAGUCCCUGUCUCUUAUAC
rnacentral:rRNA from 1 species